UUUUCAUUCUCAGAAGAGGCCUCCUCAUCAUCAAUGAAAUCUUUAUCUUCAUCAUCAAUGAAAUCCUUACUUUCAUCACCUACUUCCUCAUUUAGAUCAUAACUUUCAGUAGAGUCACUUUCACCAUCUUCACUUUCCCUGUUAUCUUCUUGCUGCUCCUCAUUGUCAUUGUAGUCUUUUUUUGCCAUUUUUAUACGCCCGUCGUCAAUGAAAUCCUUACUUUCAUCACCUACUUCCUCAUUUAGAUCAUAACUUUCAGUAGAGUCACUUUCACCAUCUUCACUUUCCCUGUUAUCUUCUUGCUGCUCCUCAUUGUCAUUGUAGUCUUUUUUCUUUUUU
rnacentral:lncRNA from 1 species